UUCACACAGGACUUUAACCUGAUUCUCCGACAGCUGUUUGCACUCGUUCAGUUGUUCAAUCCAUCCGUCCAGUUCCUUGGUGAA